rnacentral:tRNA from 1 species
GAGGGUAUAGCUCAGUGGUAGAGCAUGUGUUUAGCAUGCAAAAUAUCCUGGAUUCCAGCCUCAGUACCUCCA